ACAUUCACCUGGCAGGGAAGACACCUUGAUCAUGAAGGAGGUUUUCCCAAGGCGAGGCUCAUCCAUUACACUCCGGGUGUGCUGACCCCUGCGAUUUCCCCAAAUGCGGGAAACUUCACUGCAUAAUUUGUGGUAGAGUAGCCUGGCUCUUUGAACAAGCUUUU